rnacentral:rRNA from 1 species
AUGGCGCCCUCCGAUUUCUCCUUCCACCCCUCCGCCCUGAUGGGCUCAAACGCCGCCGGAUCCACCUCCCGGUUCCCCGACUGGGCCCUGCUCUGCGAGGAGCCGCGUCUCUCGGAGCGCCGGAACGAGACCACCGCCGAGUGCGAGACCAGCGAGGGCCAAUCCGUGGAGGUCUCCUUCUGGCUCGUCGACCCGCCCGGCGCCUCCUACUUCUCCUUCAACUGCCCCGGCCUCCACGCCUCCGCCUUCGACGACUACGCGCCGCCCUCCCUCGUCUGCGCCGGGGCCGCCUUCGUCCUCUUCAGCCUCACAAUCAGGGGCUCCACCCACCACUUCGUCUACAAAGCCGCCCCCGCAGGGGAGCAGUCACUGCAACUGCUCCCGGACCCUCCAGUCCCCAGAAGACGGCGGUUCGGCCUCUUGCCCCGCGGCGACGGCGAGCACUUCGCCGUGGCCUACCUCGACCGCCAGUGGAUCUCCCAGGACGACGAUUGGCGGUUUGAUGCGCACGUCUAUUCGUCUGAAACGCAGGAGUGGAGCAGCCACAGGUUGUCGUUGCAGCACUUAUCCGAGUCUGACAAGCUCAUGUGUUGUCACCAUAGCUUGUACUACAGGCAUAUCGCCGUUGCAGGCUCACUGGGCUGGGUUGAUCUCCUGCGUGGUGUCCUCCUCCUUGGGAACCUGUUUGACGGGGAUCCUGUCAUCGAAUUCAUCCCAUUGCCCGAAUCAAGGGUUAACUUUCUCGACAAGGAUGGUCUUCCUUACCGUGCCUCGGAGUAUUACUGCAACGUGGCCUGCUGUGAUGAUCUCCUCAAAUUCAUCGAGAUAGAAUUUGACGACCCUCUUGUCAGGACCAACCGUAAAGGUUGGAGAGCCAAUGUGUGGAACAGGAAGAUCUCUUGGAACAAGUGGGAGCUCUGCUCCACAGUUGAUGUUGCUAAAAUCUCAGUGGACCAAAGUUAUUCUGUUUUAUUGCCUCAACUGCGGAGUGACGAGACCCAAAAACUGGACUUGCAGAAACUGAUUUUCUAUGCCCCAGUGCUGAGCACCCGUGAUGACAAUCUUUUUUACAUGAUGGCCAAGGUGAAUGCUGAAGACGAGACUGCCUGGGCCAUCGCAGUUGACAUGGAAUGUGCAGCUGUGGAAGCAAUGGCCCCGAUUACUCUUGGACAGGACCACUACCACAUUGCAAUGUUCUGUCCAUGCGACCUCCCCAAGUACCUCAACAUGACCCCAGGGGCAGACAUGGAUAAUCCAGCGGACAAGUGCUCUAAGCGGAUGCCUGUUGCCAGGUGGAGUGCGAAGCAGUGUGUGGUGCAAGUGCUGUGGACUCUAGACUGGCUUCGAGAACUUGAUCAAUGCUUGGAAAUUGAGAGGUCAACUUACUACGCAUGCAGAUUAUUACUUCAGUUUUCUCCAGUAUCAUCUCUGCGUUCCAGUAUCAGACCAAUGGUAAAAUAUGCUUCCUAUAAUGGUCAAGAUGAAGCUGCAUCAAAGGCUGUGGAUUUUUGCCUAAGAGCUUUGGAAGAUUUUGAUUUGGCUCUACACGGAUCACCGAGUGAUCCAUCAGCAUCUGUUGAAGCCAUGCGUAGCAAAAUCAGCGAUGUCAUUCAAGCUUUGGACAACGUCAUGCAAAUUGUGCCAUCAACACUGAUACAAAAAGAAAGGUUGCUUGGAGAUGCCAGCGGCCAAAAAAGAUCAAAGGCAACAUUUGAAACUUGUGAGAAGCCAAUCGAGACAAAGAAUACAGCCCAUGGGUGGCUGCAAGUGAGAUUCAAGCCCAUUCAUCAGGAGAGGUAUCAAUGUCGCAGGGGAUGGGGGAAAGCUAGCCAUGAACAACGAGCUGUGGUCGAUGCAAAGGAUACACCUGGCAAGUGGGAGCAAGGGAAAUUCAAGCCCAGUAAUUCUCGAAGGGGAAAGGCGGUGGUCCUGGGUGUCUGGUUGUUGCCUCUCUGCUUGCUGAUAUCGAUGGUCGUGGUUAUGUCAUCUUCCCGCCAUUAUGUAACGGAGCCGGUAUCUUACUGA